rnacentral:rRNA from 1 species
UACAGAGGGUGCGAGCGUUAAUCGGAAUUACUGGGCGUAAAGCGUGCGUAGACGGUAGCGUAAGUCAGAUGUGAAAGCCCCGGGCUCAACCUGGGAAUUGCAUUUGAGACUGCUCUGCUCGGGUGCGGAAGAGGGAAGCGGAAUUUCCGGUGUAGCGGUGAAAUGCGUAGAUAUCGGAAGGAACACCAGUGGCGAAAGCGGCUCCUGGUCCGA